UGCUGUUUUUCCUGCACUGCAAGGAGGGCCACACAACAACCAUAUUGCUGCCCUCGCCAUAGCAUUGAAACAAGUGGCAACUCCUGAUUACAGGGCUUAUAUGCAACAAGUUAAGAGAAAUGCUCAGGCGUUGGCAGCUGCUUUAUUGAGAAGAAACUGCAGACUGGUUACUGGAGGGACUGACAAUCACAUGAUAUUGUGGGAUCUAAGAAACCUUGGGUUAACAGGCAAGAAUUUUGAGAAGGUCUGCGAGUUGUGUCACAUCACUCUCAACAAAGUAAUGGUCUUUGAUGAUAAUGGAAGUAUUACUCCUGGAGGUGUGAGGAUCGGGACCCCUGCUAUGACCUCACGAGGCUGUAUAGAGAAUGAUUUUGAUACGAUGGCAGAUUUCCUCCUCAAGGCAGCACAAAUUACAAAUUCGAUACAGAGAGAGCAUGGAAAGCUCGCUAAGGGUUUUCUGAAAGGCCUUGAGAACAAUAAAGAUGUUAUCGAGUUACGGACACGUGUUGAAAAUUUUGCAACCCUCUUUGCUAUGCCUGGGUUUGAAGUAUAAUGUAGCUGGAAAUGUAGUUCUGGUGGAGGAAUUCUUUCUUUAUUUGUUGACCAACCUUUGUUGUGGAUGGGGAGAACAGCGGUGCACCCAACUCGUGGUUAGUGAUUGAGUAGGCUAUGUGAUGUGUUCAAGUUUCCGUUGAGCUUAGCAGGCAUGGAUUAACUUAUGAUAUGCCACAAUGGAGUGUUUUGCAUCCUUAUCUACUGCCAUGGUAAAUUGAAGUAAUGGUCUGUGUCAGUUUUUUUUGUCAAGGGUUUUGGUAAAUUAAAUAGUGUCACUGUUUCAUUUUCCUAUAGCUAUUUUAAACACACUCGUUUCGGG
rnacentral:misc_RNA from 1 species